AGUUAAAAAGCUCGUAGUUGGAUUUCGGGAUGGGCCAGUCGGUCUGCCGUGAGGUAAGUUACUGGCUGGUCUGUUCUUCCUCGCAAAGAAUGCGUGUGCUCUUUACUGAGUGGGCGUAGGAUUUGCGACGUUUACUUUGAAAAAAUUAGAGUGUUCAAAGCAGGCUUACCGCUUGAAUACAUGAGCAUGGAAUAAUGGAAUAGGACUUUGGUCUUAUUUUGUUGGUUUCUAAGACUGAGGUAAUGACUAAGAGGGACAGUUGGGGGCAUUCGUAUUUCGUUGUCAGAGGUGAAAUUCUUGGAUUUACGAAAGACGAACAACUGCGAAAGCAUUUGCCAAGAAUGUUUUCAUUAAUCAAGAACGAAAGUUAGAGGCUCGAAGACGAUCAGAUACCGUCCUAGUUCUAACCAUAAACGAUGCCGACUAGGGAUCAGCGAGCGUUAUUGUAUGACCUCGUUGGCACCUUAUGGGAAACCAAAGUUUUUGGGUUCCGGGGGAAGUAUGGUUGCAAAGCUGAAACUUAAAGGAAUUGACGGAAGGGCCACCACCAGGAGUGGAGCCUGCGGCUUAAUUUGACUCAACACGGGGAAACUCACCA
rnacentral:rRNA from 1 species